CCUACGGGAGGCAGCAGUGAGGAAUAUUGGUCAAUGGACGAGAGUCUGAACCAGCCAAGUAGCGUGAAGGAUGACUGCCCUAUGGGUUGUAAACUUCUUUUAUAUGGGAAUAAAAUGUUCCACGUGUGGGUUUUUGUAUGUACCAUAUGAAUAAGGAUCGGCUAACUCCGUGCCAGCAGCCGCGGUAAUACGGAGGAUCCGAGCGUUAUCCGGAUUUAUUGGGUUUAAAGGGAGCGUAGGUGGGUUGUUAAGUCAGUUGUGAAAGUUUGCGGCUCAACUGUGAAAUUGCAGUUGAUACUGGCCGUCUAGAGUACAGUAGAGGUGGGCGGAAUGUGUGGUGUAGCGGUGAAAUGCUUAGAGAUCACGAAGAACUCCGAUUGCGAAGGCAGUUCACUGGACUGCUACUGACACUGAGGCUCGAAAGUGUGGGGAUCAAACAGGAUUAGAUACCCCGGUAGUC
rnacentral:rRNA from 1 species